UCUAAUGCUUUCUCUUUUUCCAUGAUCAGAUCCUUCUACAAAGUGUUUGUCACCACAAGUUGGUCAUGAUUUCACUUCAGUUGGGGUAAGUGGGAGGUAUAACCCAUUUAAAAGGAAUUAUGAUAUUAGAGAUUUGCCAGCCCAACCAGAUUGGCCUCUUUUUGAGACUGAAGAUGCAACGGAUAGUUUGAGCUUGCUGAGUGAAGAAUCAUGCUCUUCUACUGCAGAGAAGGGUGAAACAAUAAACAGUACAUUUGGUAGGACCAGGAUGAAGCAGAGCAGAAGAAUAAGCAGUACAUUUGGUAGGACCAGAAUGAAAUAUGAUUUGGACAAUAUUUUUGCCGAGGAAACACAUUACCAAGACGGGGAUAAUCUUUGGAAAUCAUCUGGAAAUAUAUGAGGACACCAGUUCUUGCCAAGUCAAAAUUCAGCAAGCCUGCAAGCUGUUGUCUCCAAGGGGAAAUAGGACCAUCUCAGACAUGGUUUCUCAAGGAAGGAUGCAAUUCAGUUGAUAUAGAUUUGGGUUUCAGCUAUUCCGGUUGCACCCCAGAGGCAAACAUUCCGUCUCUAGGAUCCCAGCUGUGGGCUGAAGAUCCUAUUGGUGCAUUUCAUGUUCCUGAAUUCAAUCUUGAUGACAAAUCUUGCUUUGAUAGACCUAAGCAGUGAAGCCAUCCACUGUUCACCUUUCGACUCUUUCACCUCUGAGAAGUUUGCUUUUUGCCAACCAUUUAAUCAUACGAAUGUUGAUGAUUCUCCGAUAUUCUCAAUGUUGGGCCUGGGUCAACCAAGCGUGUCUUAUCUCCAGAUUCAAGAAGACAAUGUUUUUUCUGGAUUUGUCCAAUGCUUGUCAGCAUAGAGAGACUGGAUUUCCUGGUUUAUCAGUACAAGGAAGAAUCAAUGGAGAUGAUAAAAGAAAACCAAAGUUCUCACCAGACAACUGGAAACAGUCCGAAUUUGAAAUGGAAAAUUCCCUUGGAAAUGAUUUAUUGUUUUCAAAGGAGCAUAUAACAAUAGAUGGUCUAAAUCCCAAUGACAAGAAGGAAGAAUGCUAGGAAGCAAAAGGGCUAUUAUGACAUUCUCUAAACUCAUCUUCUCAAAUUGCCAUCAUUUUCCUACCUACCCCGUCUAUUAAGCGGGACUGAACAGAAGGAACAGAAACUAAGGGCCAAGGUUGAAGAGGGAAAAGCACAAAUAGAGGAGAGAAUAAGGUGGGGAUUAAUCUAAGCACCUGGAAAGCUAGCUAUGUAGUUCAAUUUGUUUUGCUAGAGAAAGUUGCAAAGGAGGGGAAAGGAAAGAAAACAUUUGAUUAUGCCUCGACUCGGAGAAUGUGCAAUAGGGAUUGCUUUGUUUUCUGAUUCUCUGUAAUCGGUACACAACCAGUAGCAGAAAACGGU